GCAGCUCCAGCUUUACCUCCUCUGCGAAGUCCUUCCUGUGAAGAUCGCCCUCUCCGGCCACACGGCAUUGUCUUCGCAUACCCUGCAUCAACCAACGGGCUUGAUUAACGUUUGCGUGGCAAACCGAGGAAGCUUCCAGUACAGAGGCUCGAAGAAAUGUAGAGCAAGGAGUAAAAAAAGAGUCCUCUCGAAUGCUUCCGGCCACUGACAGUGGAGAAGAACCUCACUGCUCCCCAGUGACCUGUGAAGCAUCAGCAAAGAUUCCAAACCUCCACACUUCCUUUUGCUCAUUGUUUUCAUUCACAUUAAAAAGGAACACCAUGGAUUUGCAUCACAGCCUCAAAAUAAAGUCAUAGGGAGAAAGGAUUCCGUUUGGAACAGAAAGAACCACAUACUUUCUAAUAAAUCAAACCCCUAAAGAGAACUGAAAUGGGAGGUGGGGUAUGUUCCUCUCAUUCCCCACAUUAUCAACAGGGUCUCUUAGUAGCACACAGAACUCUCGACUCAUAGGGAAACAGCUCAGGAGUUACAUUACAAUGCCAAUGGUCGAUCUUCGGUUUGACAUUUCCAGAUCUUUUCUUAUAUGCCCUUUAAGAUGAUAAAUACAGUUUGAAACACUCUGCAGUUGACUACAAAUAGCAAAGAUGAUGUUUCCAACGGACUUCCUCCUUCUUGGGCCAGAGUACCUUCAGAGCACCGUGCACAUGCUAACUCCAAGUUCAGAGCCUCCUUCAAAUUUUACUCCUGUCUUCUCUGCCAAGCGCGGUUUUUAUUUACACUCCACACAGUGUAUUAUUUAGACAUUCCAUAACCUCACUUACUUCCCAACACAACAAUGUUGGUAUCAUCAAAUGUAGAGUAUUUGAAAUUAAUAAUCCCCAAACAGAAAAAAAGAUCCAUACAUCAUCUAUCUUCAGUUUCUCACAUUCUAGGUUAAAAAUUCUCCUUGGCAUAAUGGUUUCUAUCAGCAAAACCGAGACUGCACUAAAUUACUGAUAAGUUCUUCCGGAAACCUCCUCUAUGGAACUCCCCUUCAGGGAUUUACAACCAUUCUCCACAGGCUUUAUAUUGAUAACUCCGUUCCCGAUCAUGCUGUGAAAAUAGAUGGGGAACAAUUCACAGUAGUGCUUUGAGAUGCUUGUCUGGGAAAGUGGGGGUGUACCACUCUUGCUGAUGUCAUUGUCAUUUCUCAAAUUCCAGCCCUGGCCACCCUCCCAUCUGGGCUACUUUUUCAAUCUGGAAUUCUCUCUCCCAGCCUUCCCUCACUACCCACUCACCUGACCUCUGGGGGAACCAUGAGUCACUUCCUGUUCUUUAAACUUGUGGCUAAACUUCCUCUUCUGUAAGAGGCUUGAAUUGGGGGUGUGACGAGAGGCACUGGGAGGCAGAAGGCUGCCUGGAAGGCAGGCAGAAAGGAGAGAAGAGUACCAGUCCGUCCAUAUUAGAGAGUGAGUUGUUGAAGACUGCUAACUCCUGAUUUUUCCAGGAGUAUCUGAAAUCAGUGAGAGCAAUGCCAUAUUGGAACAACGUCACAGGACUUCAGAGGAGAUAAACCGUACCUAUGUUCUGGCUACCUGAGUGUAGACAAGAGCCACACCCAUGCUAACCGAAUCCAAGAAUCCCAUAUGAACGCUGUAGGAGAGUUAAGGUCAGUCCUACACUUUUUUGCUAGGAAAGCAUUGUUGGUGAGCUCUAAUCCAAAUGGUUUAUAUGAUUUCAUAUUGUGGUCUCUGACAUAGCAAGAGAAACAUCCUGAGAAACCGCAGUCUCAGCUGCUGAGUCUUUGUCUCGCACAUUAUCCCCA